rnacentral:rRNA from 1 species
UCCUACGGGAGGCAGCAGUGGGGAAUAUUGCACAAUGGGGGAAACCCUGAUGCAGCAACGCCGCGUGAGUGAUGAAGGUUUUCGGAUCGUAAAGCUCUGUCUUUGGGGAAGAUAAUGACGGUACCCAAGGAGGAAGCCACGGCUAACUACGUGCCAGCAGCCGCGGUAAUACGUAGGUGGCGAGCGUUAUCCGGAUUUACUGGGCGUAAAGGGAGCGUAGGCGGAUGAUUAAGUGGGAUGUGAAAUACCCGGGCUCAACUUGGGUGCUGCAUUCCAAACUGGUUAUCUAGAGUGCAGGAGAGGAGAGUGGAAUUCCUAGUGUAGCGGUGAAAUGCGUAGAGAUUAGGAAGAACACCAGUGGCGAAGGCGACUCUCUGGACUGUAACUGACGCUGAGACUCGAAAGCGUGGGGAGCAAACAGGAUUAGAUACCCUGGUAGUCC